UACGUAGGGGGCAAGCGUUGUCCGGAUUUAUUGGGCGUAAAGCGCGUGUAGGCGGUUUGGUAGGUCCGCUGUGAAAACUCGAGGCUCAACCUCGAGACGCCGGUGGAAACCAUCAGGCUAGAGUCCGGAAGAGGAGAGUGGAAUUCCUGGUGUAGCGGUGAAAUGCGCAGAGAUCGGGAAGAACAUCGGUGGCGAAAGCGCUCUACUGGACCGCAACUGACACUCAGGGACGAAAGCUAGGGGAGCGAAUGGG
rnacentral:rRNA from 1 species